rnacentral:lncRNA from 1 species
UGUGUCCAGACCAGGUGUGGUGUGACUUAUCCUAUGACUUGAGGAAUACUGGGAGUGAUGCCCCUCUGCAGAAACAUGAUGAGUCCCACAUCCCUCGGUGUGCAUUGGUUGUUGGUUUCAAGCCAUGCAAAGCUAGGUGAGUCACUACCAUCAGGGGAAACCAAACCAUGCCAGCUGCUAAGAAGUGAAAUCUUGGAUCUGACUUUGAGGUUCCUUUUCCAUAAGUCACUUGUUUAAGCUCCCACUUUCCAUGCAGAGAAUUGAGUUCAGACACUAAAAAUGCCCUCAUGAAGCUUUUUUUUAAUAGUGAAUUUAUAAUGUUAUGCCAAGUUCUGCUGUACAGCAAAGUGACUCAGUUAUAUAUUCCUCAAACUAUUUUCCAUAGUGUUCUAUCCCAAGAAAUUGGAUAUAGUUCUCUGUGUUAUACUGUAGGACUUAAUUGCUUUUUUAACUUCCAGGAAUACGUUUGUCUCUACUGAGCCAGCUCUCCUUGGAAAGUUCUGAAAUGUACUCUGUUUCUGCCCCCACCCCCCUCCGUAAUCCUCCCACUGCCCUUCCCUUCCCAUGAAAAUGUCGAAAUUUCCCUUAUUCACCAAGUGGCUUGUCUUGAUCCCAAACAACUUACUUGGCAGUUGGUUCAAUUGUAAUACAUUUGCUUAUCAAUGAUUUCAGGAGAGUUAAGUAUUGCAGACCUUCUCCGCUCAAACUGCUUCCCACACGCCAACCAGGGGCUCUUAGAGAACUCUUCUGGUUGCUAAUCUGAGGGGGAACCCAGCAGAUCGAAUUCACUUAGCUUCUCCAUUCAAUUCACCCUGUAAUAAACUGGGCUUUGCUAGUUUUGUGCCUGCUUUAUACAAUGGGGAUAAUGGAAAUAAAAUGAAUACUUCAGCACAAACGCAAUAAAGUAUUAGGAAGGCUAAUGAAGGAAUGAUUUGUUUUGAAUGUCAGUUGCUUAGAGGCAAGGAUUUUGUAACAAUCAAAUAAUAAAUGGUUACCAUAUUGGCAAUAUAAAUAUCCCCUUAUUGAUCUUAUACGGAAAUAAGUUUUCAGAUAGAAAAAAUGCCUGACACACUUCAGAAUAGAUUCUAGAGCAAGUAUCUAUGAUGAAUGAUCAAGUUCCUGUAUUGCUUGCAUUACAUUUUCAGAAGUACCUUGAUAUUUCGGUUUAUAACUUUUCUUACAUUACUUUGAUUUCUAGAUUCUAUAGGGUAAUAAAACUGAAGUGAAAGUUUCAUAAGUUAAAACAAUCAGAACUAGGUUAUGAUGCAAUAGUUCUCUUAAGCCUGUGCUAGACUUCCUUGGAGUGUUUAUUUAAAAGAGUGAAGAUCAAGCAGGACCUAGGAAUCAGCAUUCACACUAAAGAGCCAAUGUGUUCCUGUGCUU